rnacentral:rRNA from 1 species
CAAUAGCGUAUAUUUAAGUUGCUGCAGUUAAAAAGCUCGUAGUUGGAUUUCGGGUGGGAAUAGCCGGUCCGCCGUUUCGGUGUGCACUUGCUACGCCCACCUUGCUGCCGGGGACGUGCUCUUGAGUUCACGCUCGGGACACGGAGUCGGCGAGGUUACUUUGAGUAAAUUAGAGUGUUCAAAGCAGGCCUACGCUCUGAAUACAUUAGCAUGGAAUAACACGAUAGGACUCUGGCCUAUCUUGUUGGUCUGUAGGACCGGAGUAAUGAUUAAGAGGGACAGUCGGGGGCAUUCGUAUUUCAUUGUCAGAGGUGAAAUUCUUGGAUUUAUGAAAGACGAACUACUGCGAAAGCAUUUGCCAAGGAUGUUUUCAUUAA